UUGGGCGUAAGCGCGCGCAGGCGGUUUCUUAAGUCUGAUGUGAAAGCCCACGGCUCAACCGUGGAGGGUCAUUGGAAACUGGGGAACUUGAGUGCAGAAGAGAAAAGCGGAAUUCCACGUGUAGCGGUGAAAUGCGUAGAGAUGUGGAGGAACACCAGUGGCGAAGGCGGCUUUUUGGUCUGUAACUGACGCUGAGGCGCGAAAGCGUGGGGAGCAAACAGGAUUAGAUACCCUGGUAGUCCACGCCGUAAACGAUGAGUGCUAAGUGUUAGAGGGUUUCCGCCCUUUAGUGCUGCAGCUAACGCAUUAAGCACUCCGCCUGGGGAGUACGGUCGCAAGACUGAAACUCAAAGGAAUUGACGG
rnacentral:rRNA from 2 species